CAGCUGUCAAAAUUACUUCGGUAAAAAGGAGAAAUUUUACUUGAGUGCUUUACGUUUCAGGUGCAUACUACGCAUUAUUGGCCGGUACACUCAGAAUUAAGAUCAAUCGUUGGUAGUUUAAUAUACAAUCAUUUUUAUCAUUUGUGAGAUUUAUACUACGUGUGGUUUAUGUUUAUAUCAUUGUUUUGGCUCCGAUCAAAACAUUGUGUUUCAGCUCCUGUAAAAACUUGAAGUUAAUUUAAAAAAGUUGAUAAAUAAUUGGCAAUAAUGGAUCUUGCGGAGAAUAAGUGCCGUGCGAAAAACUGAUUGUUUUGCUGCUUUCCUGCUGCUGCAGCUUUUUGCCAUGUUAUCGUCGGAUGUUGUUCCAGGAGCAAGAGGGAAUCAAUCCUUCUCCAAAUUGCUUGCUGGAAUGCUCUUAUUUGGUGGCCGAUUGUCCCCGGAUACGUCUUGGUAUUGCAUCUGUUAACCAGAAACGGAGAUAGAGGCGCAAGUUGCCGAAAAAAAUGCUUCUUCAGGGUCCUGGCCUUCCAAACCAUCAUGGAAUUGAAAUGCAUCGUCACCAAAAAAUCCAUAUUCCAAAUCGUUUCCUGCCAGCUUACGACCUAAACUUGAACUGCUGUGAUCGGAAGAGACGGAGGCUACUUGGAGAACCAACGAUUAGGGUAAGAAGACGUAUGGGUCCAUCCACAAAGUGCAUUUUAUGACAACGAUCAAUGGAAGCAGGAAGUCUCUAAAUUGCAGAGAGCAACGAACAUUCAUCCGUUCUGAUUUUGUGCUAAAUAGGAACUCAUUUUUGCAACAUAUGUUUAUUCUGUUAUUAUGUAUUGAACGCUUAUUAGUAAUAAAGAUUAAUUUAUGUUGUUUUUUUUUUGUUUACAA
rnacentral:lncRNA from 11 species